UACGUAGGGCGCAAGCGUUGUCCGGAAUUAUUGGGCGUAAAGAGCGUGUAGGCGGCCAAACAGGUCCACUGUGAAAACUCGAGGCUCAACCUCGAGAGGUCGGUGGAAACCGUCUGGCUAGAGUCCGGAAGAGGAGAGUGGAAUUCCCGGUGUAGCGGUGAAAUGCGCAGAUAUCGGGAAGAACACCCGUGGCGAAGGCGGCUCUCUGGGACGGUACUGACGCUGAGACGCGAAAGCGUGGGGAGCGAACAGG
rnacentral:rRNA from 1 species